GCUAGGCACAUACCCGUAUGCUCACCCCCUGGGGUGCACAUGGACACGCCGAUCAUCGGGACCUUCUUUCAUCGGCGCCCCCAUCCAAGCGAAGGCAGCUAGACCUCUCUCAAGCAGCGAGAUUGCCCAACGGGGGACCCUUGGCUUGCUGACUCCACGCCACCUGAGGCUGCCUUCCAUGGUCUACAGUGAUCUUUGUCCCAGUGCUUCUGGUCUACGGUCUCGACUGCCUACUAUGGACUUCAACUUUUUUUUUUUUUUUUGAGAACGUCUUCGAAACCAUAACUGCAAGCUCCGUGUCGACGUCAUGUUUCCCCAGGGGGACGAAGAAUGCAAGCGAUUUCAAGUUUACUGAAUAAAUCCACGACUGUUUGCCCGCC
rnacentral:lncRNA from 1 species